CGGGUCACGUGGGCAGCUUCGCCCCGCCCCGCCCCGCGGAGCUCCACGCGGUGGCCGGAGCCCUGGCUGGCUCAGUAGCCUCACGCGGGGGCGCUGCAGCCAGGUCUCGCGGAGGUCGAGCAGGGGACUUGAGGCAGAUUCUACUAUCUUGGGGACUUCCCUGGUAGCACAGUGGUUAAGAAUCCGCCUGCCAAUGCAGGGGACACGGGUUGGAGCCCUGGUCCAGGAACAUCCCACAUGCCGUGGAGCAACUAAGCCCAUGUGCCACAACUACUGAGCCCGCGCACCACAGCUAGUGAAGCCCGCGCGCCUAGAGCCUGUGCUACACAAGAGAAGCCACCGCAAUGAGAAGCCCGUGCACCACAACAAAGAGUAGCCCCCGCUCGCCGCAACUAGAGAAAGCCUGUGCGCAGCAACAAAGACCCAACACAGCCAUAAAUAAAUAAAUAAAUUUAUAAAAAAUAAAAAUAAAAAAAAGAUUCUACUCUCUUAAAGUUGACUCAAAACAGAGGAAAUGUGUGGGAGCAUAUGAAUAGUGCAUCAGACUAACAGUAAUUAAGAGAAGAAGAUAUUAAAAAAUCUGAACGAAUGACAGCUGUUGUCCAUGAUAGAGAAGUGGUCAUCUUCUACCACAGAGGAGAGUAUCAUGCUAUGGAUAUUCGCUGUUACCUGACUAGAUGUAAUAUUCAAUUCCUUUGCAGACUCAGGAGGACCUUUACAUUUAGGAGAAAUAGAGUCAAGGCAGUUUCAAAGUAAGGAAGAUACAGCUGCUCCCCAGCCAUACGAGAUGUGAAAGUUUCUGCGAGCCAAGAUGCUGGGCAGACGUGCCAGGAUCCCUAUAAAAAGAUGAGUCUCCUGAUUUCAAGGUUCCUCUCCUGCAAUGUAACUUACUACAUGCAUAGGUAACAUCUGGCUGUCACCACAUUGCCCUGCGGGAACUGACACAAGAUACUGCUCUGGCUGCUGCUUUUGCUUGUCUCUUCUGGCAGUGUGUGUGCCUAUGUAUUUCUAUAACUGGCAGGCUAACUUGUUAGCUCAUAAAUAGUGUAAAAUCUCAGCUCCUUCACAGUUUUAACUUAGCAAAGAGGAGAAAAAAGAAAGACUGUAAAUAACAAUAAUGGACAGUGUCUUUAAACAUAAUUUCAUAAUAAAUACAGAAAUAUUCUUCAAAGGACACUUCUUAUAUCAACUCUCUAUAAAAACUAUGGGUCUAACAAUGCAAGGAAAGAAACAGCAAGGCAAAACAUUAGAUUCAGAAAGACAUUUCACUGGGAAUUUAAAAUAAUACAGUUCAGCUAUGUUUCUUUUUGAUGAUCUAAAGAUACAGGAAUAAGCCUUAUAGUGCUCAGAAAUCCAAUGGUUAACAAACAGAAACCAUUUUUUACUUUCUCAAACAUCAGGUAUUAUAAAGGAGCCUUUUAUAAAUGUUGUCUCAGGCAAUUCAUAAUUGAAAUAUCUGAUGAUUUCUGGAAAUGUCAAAAUCUUUUAUUAAAAAGAGAUUCCUAUAUAUUGAAUAUUUUGUUUAUUUUAGCCACCCAUCAUCUAUUUUCUCAUCUUCUUAAAACAACACAGAUUUUUGUUUGAGGAUUCAUCCUUUCCCCAUUCUUAAGUCAUGUUGUCUCGAUGGGGCUCCAACCCCUACUCUAGAAAUGAAGCAGGUAAUCAAGUCCUAGGCCAAUCAAUGCACCCCCAUUUCCCUGGUUAAGAGGUAAGCCAUUCUCUAAGAGUGGACCUCAGGACUUGGCCAGGAAUGCUGGGUCAAGGACUCAUUCUUUUCUGCUGUAGUUGAACCUGGAAGGAUGUAGCCUGGGAACAACUGCAAAUCAUCUUGUGACCACGAGGGGAAAGUCAGUCUACGAAUGGAGUCAACACAGAGAAAGCAGAGCCAGGAGAUCAGUAAAAGAGAGAAACAGGAUCCUGAAGGUAUCAUUUGAGUACCUAUAUCCAGCUAUGCCUGAAACCUUCUCAACUCUGGAUUGAGUACAAGAACUAAUACAUCUCCUUUCUGGCUUAACUCUCCCUUCAACAAAGGGAUGCUUUGAGUAAUGCCCAGAUUGAAAAACCCAGAGUUCUGUGCCAUAAAGUUCAGAAAAAAAGAAACUGGUCCUGAAAAACUUUGACAAAAUAUAAUAGGGCCUCAAUAAAACAACAUAGAACACGUAUUUGAAACAGACCUGGACACUGACAGGUCUAUCGAAAUGAGUUUAUAGCUAAAUAUACUCAAUAUGUUAUGUCAAAGAUUAUCUUGGAAACAUAACAAGGUUAUGGGGAAAAGGACACAAAGCACAUCAUUUUUAAGGCUUGUUGUAGAAUUUCUUUCAGAUUUGACAUAAGUGGUAAUUUGCAUGCUUAUAUUUAGGUUGAACCAUUUGAAAUUGAUAGUUUCAUUUAGUUCAAUCAAAUAACAAGGGAGAAAAAAGUCUGCAUUACUUCCUUUUUCACAUUUAUUUAAACGAGAGAAUAUACUAUACUGAAAAAAGGCCCAUCUAUUUAUUUCUCUUAUCCAACUAUUCUUGUUUUACAUCUAGGACAACCAAAUGUGCUACAUUUUCAUUUUCCAAAUCUUACAAUUUCAAAAUACUUCCUAAAAAAAGAUCCAUAGCCUGUGCAAAUGCAGUAUUUAUUUACCUGCAGGUUAUAUAGGGGUUGCUUUUGUGUAUUAACUUCCUUGAGCAGACGAUGAGAUAUGUCCCUUAACUCUAAAAGUCUGCAAGCAAGCUGAGGCUGCAGAAGUUUGGCAACUGAUUUGGAGGAUCUGGAUAUGCUGUUCAAUCCUCAAAUUAAUGUUCCUCGGUUGAUCUUGGCUAAAGCGACAGCCAUUCUGAUUUUGGAUGUUUUUUGCACGGGUUCUCUUUUCUGGAAAAUAAGCCUUUGAAAAGUGACUGAUGUGUGAUUCUCCAGUGCAGUAUUUAUUUACUAAAAAUUUUUUAAUUUAAAAUAUAGUUGAUGUACAAUAUUGUUAGUCUCAGGUAUACUAUAUAAUUUGACAUUUGCAAACAGUAUGAAAUGAAUACCACAAGUCUAGUAACCAUCUGUCCCCAUACAAAGUUAUUACAAUAUUAUUGAUCAUCUUCCUUAUGCUGUAUAUUGUAUUCCCAUUACUUAUUAUAGAACUGGAGAUUUGUACCUCUUAAUCCCCUUCACCUGUUUCGCUCACACUGCUCCCUCCCUCCAUCCCCCCUCACCCUACCAGCAACCACCCAUUUGUUUCCAGUGCAUUAUUAAAAUCUACUUCAGGCAGAGACAAGUACCACAUAACUGUACACUGUGCCUGAUACUAAGUGUCCAAUAAUUAUCUCCCACCCUCCUUACAACUCAUUGGUCCCACCCCAGGUAUUUAAAUCUUUAUAUGAAUAUAUGAUUUUUUCCUUAGGAUAAAUAUCCAGAAUUAAGUUAGUAGCCUAAAAAUAUAAAUUUUUCAUUUUUCUCUCUGGAUUUAUCUGUUUUUUGCAUUGAUUUUUUAAAAAAGAGCUCUUUCAAAAGUAAACAAUCUUGGGAACAUAUGUAUAUGUAUAACUGAUUCACUUUGUUAUAAAGCAGAAACUAACACACCAUUGUAAAGCAA